rnacentral:rRNA from 1 species
GUGAGGAAUAUUGGACAAUGGGCGCAAGCCUGAUCCAGCCAUGCCGCGUGCAGGAAGACGCAUCUAUGGUGUGUAAACUGCUUUUGUACGGGAAGAAACACUCCCUCGUGAGGGAGCUUGACGGUACCGUAAGAAUAAGGAUCGGCUAACUCCGUGCCAGCAGCCGCGGUAAUACGGAGGAUCCAAGCGUUAUCCGGAAUCAUUGGGUUUAAAGGGUCCGUAGGCGGUUUAAUAAGUCAGUGGUGAAAGCCCAUCGCUCAACGAUGGAACGGCCAUUGAUACUGUUAGACUUGAAUUACAAGGAAGUAACUAGAAUAUGUAGUGUAGCGGUGAAAUGCUUAGAUAUUACAUGGAAUACCAAUUGCGAAGGCAGGUUACUACUUGUGGAUUGACGCUGAUGGACGAAAGCGUGGGAAGCGAACAGGAUUAGAUACCCUGGUAGUCC